rnacentral:misc_RNA from 1 species
UGUCAACAGCAUCCGCACAGGCAUAGGCGUGUGCCCUUCUUCGCUGAGCAGGACCUCUUACGCAGAUGCUGAGUCGAGCGUUGAGACUCCUUAGCAGCAAGUCGGCGGCCAGCGCUGUGGCCCUGCCCGUCUACAACACCACGGAGGAGGGCCCCGCCGGCAGCAAGGCGUGGCGCAUGUUUUACAAAGUUGGCGCCACAGACGCCAUAGUGUCGGCAUGGCACGACUUGCCCCUGUACGCUGGCGCUUCUGACGAUCAGCUUGUCCUCACCUGCGUGACUGAGAUCCCGAAGGGCACGCGCGCGAAGCUCGAGCUGAGCAAGGAGGAGCCGCACAACCCCAUCAAGCAGGACAUUUUCAAGAGCAAGGAGGGGCAGCCGCUGCGGUACUUCUCGUACGGCGACAUGCCCUUCAACUACGGAUUCCUGCCCCGCACCUGGGAGGAUCCGGUGCACAUCGACCCGAACACCAAGUGCAUCGGCGACGGCGACCCCGUCGACGUCGUACACAUCGGCACGCCGCAUCGCGUGGGCACCUACGGACCAGUGCGCAUCCUCGGUGUGCUCGGUCUGAUUGACGAGGGCGAGACCGACUGGAAGAUCAUCGUCGAGUCUGUGUCGGCGACGGCGGGCGAGGGCUACGGGAUGCUGUCGAAGGUGCCGCAGGAGUUGCAAGCGACCAUCAUCGACUGGUUCGAGAACUAUAAGGUGCCGGAUGGCAAGAAGAGGAACGAGUUUGCCUUUAACAAGGUGAUCAAGGAUGCCGAGACGGCGCUGGGCAUCGUCUCCCAGUGCGCCUCGCAGUAUAACGCCUUGGUGGAGGGGAAGUGCGUCAACCCGGGCUAUUGGCUUCGGUAGGCGCCGCAUCGCCUAUCAUCAUUCAUAUCGGUGCGUGCGGUGAUGGUUCGUGGGUGCUGGAUAAGGGUUGUGCCACAGGUGCAGCGAAGCUCUCGACGAAGACGGCGAAGAGAGCGAGAAGUAGAGAAGCAGGGACUGCCCACUGCCAUCAGAGGGUGGGGCACGCACUCUGUGUGCGCUGGAGGAGGCAAGAGAAGCCGCCCUCGCCCUGCCUCGUCACCACGCCGACUCCCCACCCUACCCCACCCCCGGCCCCAGGAUGAACCUUUUCCGUUUUCGCUUCGUCUUGCCCUUUUCGGUUGUCGCUCUCCUCUCGCGUACGGCAAGAAAGUGAGCAAAGAAAUAACAGCACGCGAGUCAGCGCGCGACACGGUUGGAGAUGGGGGAGGUGGAGCAUGGAGUCACUGCCUCAGUUCUCUCUCGCCCUCCCCCUACCCAGCCGUCGCUUCGUGCACUCACCAGAUAUCGAUCGCUGUUCCUCUCUCCUACCCAUCUGCACAUACGCGCACGCAUGCAUUCG